rnacentral:lncRNA from 1 species
UGCACCCUCUCUAUUUUUUUCCCCUCUCUCCUCUGCUUCAGGUUGAGACUCUGUGGAAUCACUGAUGAUGCUUCAAAAUUACUCUCUCGUGGCUUCCAGCAAUGCCCUGCUGUGGAGGAGAUCAUAUUGUCUUGGAACGCCCUUGGUGAUGGAGGAGCCCAAGUGUUGGCCAGCAUCCUCCCAGGGAUGGAAACGCUGAAGAUGUUAGACCUGGAGAAAAAUCUCAUUGGUGCGUGUGGUGCUACCAGGUUGGCAGAGGAACUUGUCAGGUGCCCAGAAAUUCAGUUCAUAAGGUGAGUGAGUGUCACUGAGGGCUGGGGCUGAGUGUUGGCCCACUUAGGGGAAACUGG